GGGUUGUGAGGUUAAGCGACUAAGCGUACACGGUGGAUGCCCUGGCAGUCAGAGGCGAUGAAGGACGUGCUAAUCUGCGAUAAGCGUCGGUAAGGUGAUAUGAACCGUUAUAACCGGCGAUUUCCGAAUGGGGAAACCCAGUGUGUUUCGACACACUAUCAUUAACUGAAUCCAUAGGUUAAUGAGGCGAACCGGGGGAACUGAAACAUCUAAGUACCCCGAGGAAAAGAAAUCAACCGAGAUUCCCCCAGUAGCGGCGAGCGAACGGGGAGGAGCCCAGAGCCUGAAUCAGUGUGUGUGUUAGUGGAAGCGUCUGGAAAGGCGCGCGAUACAGGGUGACAGCCCCGUACACAAAAAUGCACAUACUGUGAGCUCGAUGAGUAGGGCGGGACACGUGGUAUCCUGUCUGAAUAUGGGGGGACCAUCCUCCAAGGCUAAAUACUCCUGACUGACCGAUAGUGAACCAGUACCGUGAGGGAAAGGCGAAAAGAACCCCGGCGAGGGGAGUGAAAAAGAACCUGAAACCGUGUACGUACAAGCAGUGGGAGCCUCUUUUAUGGGGUGACUGCGUACCUUUUGUAUAAUGGGUCAGCGACUUAUAUUCUGUAGCAAGGUUAACCGAAUAGGGGAGCCGAAGGGAAACCGAGUCUUAACUGGGCGUUAAGUUGCAGGGUAUAGACCCGAAACCCGGUGAUCUAGCCAUGGGCAGGUUGAAGGUUGGGUAACACUAACUGGAGGACCGAACCGACUAAUGUUGAAAAAUUAGCGGAUGACUUGUGGCUGGGGGUGAAAGGCCAAUCAAACCGGGAGAUAGCUGGUUCUCCCCGAAAGCUAUUUAGGUAGCGCCUCGUGAAUUCAUCUCCGGGGGUAGAGCACUGUUUCGGCAAGGGGGUCAUCCCGACUUACCAACCCGAUGCAAACUGCGAAUACCGGAGAAUGUUAUCACGGGAGACACACGGCGGGUGCUAACGUCCGUCGUGAAGAGGGAAACAACCCAGACCGCCAGCUAAGGUCCCAAAGUCAUGGUUAAGUGGGAAACGAUGUGGGAAGGCCCAGACAGCCAGGAUGUUGGCUUAGAAGCAGCCAUCAUUUAAAGAAAGCGUAAUAGCUCACUGGUCGAGUCGGCCUGCGCGGAAGAUGUAACGGGGCUAAACCAUGCACCGAAGCUGCGGCAGCGACACUAUGUGUUGUUGGGUAGGGGAGCGUUCUGUAAGCCUGUGAAGGUGUACUGUGAGGUAUGCUGGAGGUAUCAGAAGUGCGAAUGCUGACAUAAGUAACGAUAAAGCGGGUGAAAAGCCCGCUCGCCGGAAGACCAAGGGUUCCUGUCCAACGUUAAUCGGGGCAGGGUGAGUCGACCCCUAAGGCGAGGCCGAAAGGCGUAGUCGAUGGGAAACAGGUUAAUAUUCCUGUACUUGGUGUUACUGCGAAGGGGGGACGGAGAAGGCUAUGUUGGCCGGGCGACGGUUGUCCCGGUUUAAGCGUGUAGGCUGGUUUUCCAGGCAAAUCCGGAAAAUCAAGGCUGAGGCGUGAUGACGAGGCACUACGGUGCUGAAGCAACAAAUGCCCUGCUUCCAGGAAAAGCCUCUAAGCAUCAGGUAACAUCAAAUCGUACCCCAAACCGACACAGGUGGUCAGGUAGAGAAUACCAAGGCGCUUGAGAGAACUCGGGUGAAGGAACUAGGCAAAAUGGUGCCGUAACUUCGGGAGAAGGCACGCUGAUAUGUAGGUGAAGUCCCUCGCGGAUGGAGCUGAAAUCAGUCGAAGAUACCAGCUGGCUGCAACUGUUUAUUAAAAACACAGCACUGUGCAAACACGAAAGUGGACGUAUACGGUGUGACGCCUGCCCGGUGCCGGAAGGUUAAUUGAUGGGGUCAGCGCAAGCGAAGCUCUUGAUCGAAGCCCCGGUAAACGGCGGCCGUAACUAUAACGGUCCUAAGGUAGCGAAAUUCCUUGUCGGGUAAGUUCCGACCUGCACGAAUGGCGUAAUGAUGGCCAGGCUGUCUCCACCCGAGACUCAGUGAAAUUGAACUCGCUGUGAAGAUGCAGUGUACCCGCGGCAAGACGGAAAGACCCCGUGAACCUUUACUAUAGCUUGACACUGAACAUUGAGCCUUGAUGUGUAGGAUAGGUGGGAGGCUUAGAAGUGUGGACGCCAGUCUGCAUGGAGCCGACCUUGAAAUACCACCCUUUAAUGUUUGAUGUUCUAACGUUGACCCGUGAUCCGGGUUGCGGACAGUGUCUGGUGGGUAGUUUGACUGGGGCGGUCUCCUCCUAAAGAGUAACGGAGGAGCACGAAGGUUGGCUAAUCCUGGUCGGACAUCAGGAGGUUAGUGCAAUGGCAUAAGCCAGCUUGACUGCGAGCGUGACGGCGCGAGCAGGUGCGAAAGCAGGUCAUAGUGAUCCGGUGGUUCUGAAUGGAAGGGCCAUCGCUCAACGGAUAAAAGGUACUCCGGGGAUAACAGGCUGAUACCGCCCAAGAGUUCAUAUCGACGGCGGUGUUUGGCACCUCGAUGUCGGCUCAUCACAUCCUGGGGCUGAAGUAGGUCCCAAGGGUAUGGCUGUUCGCCAUUUAAAGUGGUACGCGAGCUGGGUUUAGAACGUCGUGAGACAGUUCGGUCCCUAUCUGCCGUGGGCGCUGGAGAACUGAGGGGGGCUGCUCCUAGUACGAGAGGACCGGAGUGGACGCAUCACUGGUGUUCGGGUUGUCAUGCCAAUGGCACUGCCCGGUAGCUAAAUGCGGAAGAGAUAAGUGCUGAAAGCAUCUAAGCACGAAACUUGCCCCGAGAUGAGUUCUCCCUGAC
rnacentral:rRNA from 1 species